GCCAUUUUUCUCGGGGAGGCCAACGUACCAGAACUUGAGGAGCUCGCGCACAUCGGGUACGUUCCAAACUUCUCAAGUCUGUCCGAUGUGGGAGUGUGACUAAGAUUAUCUGCUGCUCGUGUCAAAGCAGGCCUCGUCGCGCUGCUGUUUGUCCCCCGGCAAGCUAACCAAAAGGAACCCCCUCGGCGACAUUCCUUGGCGGAGCCCGAUCUAUGCGUUGGCGGCGAAAACCACGACGUGCGUCUGUUUCGCAGCCGAGGACCCACAAGAGCGCGCAUGUGCGCAUGGCGACUGUGGAUCGACCGUGGAUUUCAGGGCCUGGUCUUCACUUCGCUCUACACCCUGGACCGGCUAUGGCCUUGUGACUAUCUUGUGACUAUCUGGGUCCUUGAGACUGGCAGUGACCUUUGGAGAGACAGUGAGCCCUUGAAGACUGUCAGCGAGGCAGUUUCAGAGCCUUAACCCCCAGACUGGUUGGGGCUCUUCUGCGGCGGUGGUCCGAAAACUGGCGCCCACCACAAUGGGCCUAAUGGCGCCUCCUGAAGCAGCUGCACCCUGUUUGUUGUCGAAGAGGGCAACGACUGCAGCGAGGGCUUGGUGUAGCCCUUGGGAUGACAGCAACCUCUGGACUGGCGGUGAACGGUGCCGUAGUGGUGACCCAUGGAUUUUCAGCUACCCUUCGACAGGUUACCCUUCAGCUACCCUUCGACAGGCUGUGGCUCAGGGACUGGCUUAAUCACCAGAACAGGCUUUCUUCACGUGACUGGCAGCAACUCCUGGACCUAAACUGAGUGUGCCCUCUGGUCAGCGAAGGGGUAAGGUGACUGGCUGAAGACCAGAUAGCAGCUGAUGAAGUGCUUGCACUGUUAUUGUUGUCGCUGUUUUUUACCAAUGGGGCUUCUGCCUCUAAGGUAACUUCCGUCCCAUUUUUGAGAGUUGCAGCCUUGCCGUGGAGCAUGCACAUGUGUACCGCCACACUUUGAGCAAACGUUUGCCCACAAUACACAAUCACAUGCUUGGGGCCAACUACUUUUUUUAUCGUGUCGCCUAUUAGUAUUGCAUUUCUAUAUGGAGUACUUUUGCUAAAAUAUAGCUUCCAAAGCUUGUCGAAUCUCAUCAAUGGAUCAACUGGCUACUCAGGCAAGCAUCACUUACAAGAAAACGUAUUGCAGUUGAUUCUGUAAUUGAAUUCAAUACAAUAAUUACCUUCUUACUUGCUAAUUUGAAGGCCCAUGAAUAUCCCGGAAAGCUGAAGGAAAUUGGCGUGAAGCUUUAGUUUCAUGUUUCAACAUUAGAGCACCGCCUUGUAGACCGACAUAUUCAAUCAAAUCGAACUAUUCGCAGAACUUACAUGAUUACGUAGGCGGCACUGCGAAAUGCAGCUCACUGUGCGAUCCUUUUACGACGUAGAAGGGUGGCGUCAAAUGGAUCUGCCGUCGCACUUUUCCCUUUAAGCGAUAAUAUUUAGAUUGGCGCGAUGUGCAACUCCCGAUUGGAUGCACACAAGUAUUCUCUUCAGCUGCAGUAGCGAUACGGGCGGACACGCAGCGAUUACUUGGCUGCUGGUGAUUCUGGACUGGCAGUGACCCAGGGAUGGGUUGCGACAUGAGGAUUGGCUGCUACUCCGGGAUUAUCCACCGCUGAACUACAGAGUACGCUACCCGUAUAGGCUUUGUUGUGGAAAGUGGGCAGGAACAAUGUACUGGCAAUGGCUCCGGGUCUGGCCGUGGUCCCCAACUGGCUGCAGCCCCGAAAUUGUUGCAGGGCCUGGUCAUCACUUGCAGUGACCUCUGGACAGACAGCGAUGACUUGAGAGCAAACAACCCGAAAACGGCUUGAGGCCCUGGUACGGCGGUAGUCUGAAAACGUCGCGGGCCACAAAUGGCGCCUCCUAAAGCAGUUUCUUCCUGUUUGCUGUGCAAUGUGCGCAUUAACAUUCACAUUUUACUUGUUAUUACAACUGUCAACAUUCUCCCUUUAAGUUUCAUUGGUCUCGCUUCUCCCACUCGCGAACAGUGUUGCCAAAAUGUUUUAGUGGGUCCCUAAAGCGAGAUAAAAAAUCGCUAAAUUUCCGCUAAACAUUCCUUUGAACUAUUGAAAUCCUCGCUGAUGGUUUUAGGUAACAUUUAGGCAACAUAGUUUGGAAUGUUACAGCAUAUGCAAUCGCAUUGGCAUGCCAUAAUGUUUUUACCAAAACGCCUUACGUGGUUCAUGUGAGUAAGGCAUCAAGUGCAAAUUUCCCAGCGGUACAGUAGGCACAUUUUUUGAUAUUGCACUAACGAAAUAACAGUUGAUGACAGUCUAAAUUUUGCGUUUACACCCAUAUUGUGAGGUUACAAAUCGAGCAGGUUUCAAAAGAACGAGAGAAAUCAGGUUUUCCUUGCAUUGAAGGUGCACUCGGUCCCCACGUUAUCACUGAAAGUUGUGAUGUUCUCCGUUCUUCUUGAAGGAUAGCAAAAUUUCAACACAUAAAAGGUCACCUGUUAACGAGGCGAUUUACGUGACCUUCAUUCAAGUCAAGCUACGCUCCUGUGCUUUGGUCUACAUGAAGACUCCUUGCAGUACUGAUUUGUCCAAAACACAUGUGAUAAAGAAACAGUGUACUCAGGUUCCGCGUGAAGGAUCCCCAGUUGCUACCAAGUGUACACUUUUCGACAAGCUGAUCUUACGAUUAAGCUGGUGCGUUCGCAGUCUGGCAAUAAAAUGAGUAAAUGUCCACCAAAUGUCCUUAUUUAGUGAAAGCGAAAUCUAGAAGCUGCAGAACUGGAAGACCUUGUAGUAAGACGUUACCGCUACAGAAUGAAAUUUUUCUUCUUACUCUAUAACAAUCAAUUAGGAAUAGAUAAAACAUCAUGUAUUUUACUGGCUAGUCACCGCUGCACGCGCUCUUAACAAAAAGGUUAGAGAUUUUUUUCUGCAGGACCAACGCAUUUAAACAUUCUUUUUUUCCCCCACACGAUUUCCGAAUGGAACGCACUACCUGCCACAACUGUCGACUGUCCAACGGUUUCAUCCUUUCUUUCUGCACUUUGUGAAUAGGUCAUAGCGUUCAUCCCUCGUUUUUACCAGUCAAAUCUUGAUUGUGAAAGGUUUCUCUUAUGUUGUUUAUUAUGCAGAUUCUUGUUCAGUGUCUGUUUUCUUGUUUGAUCUUAUUUCAUAUUUGUUUUUUUUUUUCAAAUGCCCACUCCUGCCUAAGGCCUGGUAACAAGGCUGGCAGUACUUGUAAAAUAAAUGAAUAAAUAAAAGUGCAGUACCCUAAGUUUUAAAGCCAACUUUGAGAGGUUUCAUAAAAAAAACAA